rnacentral:rRNA from 1 species
AUUGACCGCUGGCGGCUGGCCUACCACAUGCAAGUCGUACGAGUGGCGGACGGGUGAGUAAUGUCUGGGAAACUGCCUGAUGGAGGGGGCUAACUACUGGAAACGGUAGCUACUACCGCAUACCAUCAGAUGUGCCCCGAUGGGCCUAGUUAGUUGGUGGGGUAACGGCUCACCUAGGCGACGAUCCAUAGCGGGUCUGAGAGGAUGACCAGCCAAACGGCAACUAAGACAUGGUCAAGACGCCUACGGGAGGCAGCAGUGGGGAAUAUAGCACAAUGGGUGGAAUCCUGAGGUAGAAAUGACGGGGAUAUUAAGAAGGAAUUUGGGUGGUAAUGUACUUUCAGUGAUGAGGCGUUACCCGCAGAAGAAGCACAGGCUAACUCCGGAGCAGCAGCCGAGGUAAAUC